AUACGAAAGGUGCAAGCGUUGUUCGGAUUUACUGGGCGUAAAGAGAGUGUAGGUUGUUUAUUAAGUCGGAUGUGAAACCCCGGGGCUCAACCUCGGAACUGCAUUCGAUACUGGUAGACUAGAGUUCGGGAGGGGUAAGCGGAAUUCCGUGUGUAGCAGUGAAAUGCGUAGAUAUACGGAGGAACACCUGAGGCGAAGGCGGCUUACUGGACCGAUACUGACACUGAGACUCGAAAGCGUGGGUAGCAAACAGGAUUAGAAACCCGGGUAGUCC
rnacentral:rRNA from 1 species